rnacentral:rRNA from 1 species
CCUACGGGUGGCAGCAGUCGAGAAUUUUUCUCAAUGGGGGAAACCCUGAAGGAGCGACGCCGCGUGGAGGAUGAAGGUCUUCGGAUUGUAAACUCCUGUCAUUAGGGAACAAAACUUCCGCGUAACUGCCGGAAACUUGAUAGUACCUGAAGAGGAAGAGACGGCUAACUCUGUGCCAGCAGCCGCGGUAAUACAGAGGUCUCAACCGUUGUUCGGAUUCAUUGGGCGUAAAGGGUGCGUAGGCUGCGGAGUAAGUCAGGUGUGAAAUCUCGGGGCUCAACCCCGAAACUGCACUUGAUACUGCUUCGCUCGAGUACUGGAGAGGAGACUGGAAUUUACGGUGUAGCAGUGAAAUGCGUAGAUAUCGUAAGGAAGACCAGUGGCGAAGGCGAGUCUCUGGACAGUUACUGACGCUGAGGCACGAAGGCCAGGGGAGCAAACGGGAUUAGAUACCCUUGUAGUC